rnacentral:rRNA from 1 species
AAGGGCACCACAAGAACGCGUGGAGCAUGUGGCUUAAUUUGACUCAACGCGGGAAAUCUUACCGGGUCCGGACACACUGAGGAUUGACAGAUAUACGUACCAUAUAUAUGCUUCGGCGUAUUGUGUGUACUGAAAGAUGCUAGUUCUUUCAUGAUUAUGUGAUAGGUGGUGCAUGGCCGUUCUUAGUUCGUGGAGUGAUCUGUCUGCUUAAUUGCGUAUCAUUAAAGAGACCUAGUAUACGCGUAAGACUUCGUUUUACGGUUCGUGACCCCCCUCACGGGCGUGUGUCGCACGUACGGGUCAUACUCACAGGUCUCCGAUAGCAACGAACGUGACCGUACUCUAUUGUUGCAGCGAAUGUAUAUAUCCUAUACGGGUGUAUCUACCGUACGCGUGUCGUACAUUAAACUAUAGAGACCGCUGUAUUUUCCUUAAACCAGAAGAAGGAUACGGCAAUAACAGGUCUGUGAUGCCCUCAGAUGUUCCGGGCUGCACACGUGCCACAAUGAUCAUUGCACUGUGCAUCUAACCCAAUGUGCGUGGGGCGCCACGGUAUAUAUUUAUACUUCGGUGUAAUAUAUAUCAGUUGGUCGGCCACGCCGAACCUACUUGGAAAGUAAAAUUUCUCAGUGGGUAAUCCAUUAGAAGUAAUGACUCGCAUAGACCAUGGUACACACUUAUAUUAUGUACGCGCAGGUUCUACCCGGCCGGCCUUUGUGUCGGUGCAGUGUGUAGCUUGUUGUUCGUACGUACCACUCCGUAUUAAUUCAUACGUGGGAUAGAUCAUUGUUUAAUUGUUGGUCUCGGUCUUAACUAGGAAUGCCUUGUACGGUCUCCGGUUCAACAUACCACCCGGAAUACGUCCCUGCCCUCUGUACACACCGCCCGUCGCUCUUACCGAUGGAUUAUACUAUGAAUCUAUAGGACUGCCAAAGUUGUGUCUCGACACGCUUAGUGGAAAUAUAUAUGAAUAGUGUGAUCUAAAGGAAAGAGAAGUCGUAACAAGGCAUCGGUAGGUGAACCU